rnacentral:rRNA from 1 species
GACGAACGCUGGCGGCGUGCUUAACACAUGCAAGUCGAACGGAAAGGCCCUGCUUUUGUGGGGUGCUCGAGUGGCGAACGGGUGAGUAACACGUGAGUAACCUGCCCUUGACUUUGGGAUAACUUCAGGAAACUGGGGCUAAUACCGGAUAGGAGCUCCUGCUGCAUGGUGGGGGUUGGAAAGUUUCGGCGGUUGGGGAUGGACUCGCGGCUUAUCAGCUUGUUGGUGGGGUAGUGGCUUACCAAGGCUUUGACGGGUAGCCGGCCUGAGAGGGUGACCGGCAGCAGUGGGAAUGAGAGAAGGCGGGGAGGACGACGGGAGGCAGAAGGGGGGAAGGGGGAACAAGGGUCGGAAGCCGGAUGCAGCGACGCCGAGUGAGGGAUGAGGGGGGUCGGGGAGGAAAACGCGAGCGCCGGUGACGAAGGGGGAGGGAGGGGAAGGGGUAAAGAAGAACCGGCGAAGUAAGGG